GUAGGUGAACCUGCGGAAGGAUCAUUACCACAUCCAAAACUUUCCACCCACCGUGUGCACUGUUUCUUUUUCGUUGGUGCGCGUUUUUGGCUUCACGGCCUUGGCGCGCACAAACGAAAAACAAAGCAACCUCUUUUUGUUCACCCCCCCUUUUUCAAACCAAUUCAAACCAAACAAAACGAAACUUGAGAGACAACUUUUAACGAUGGAUCUCUUGGCUCGU
rnacentral:misc_RNA from 1 species